UGAGCAAUCUGCCCUUCUCUUUGGAAUAAGCGUUGGAAACGACGUCUAAUGCUGAAUACGACCUCCUUUCGCAUGAUCGGAGGUGGAAAGCUCCGGCGGAGAAGGAUGAGCUCGCGGCCUAUCAGCUAGUUGGUGUGGGUAAUGGCUCACCAAGGCGACGACGGGUAGCCGGCCUGAGAGGGUGACCGGCCACACUGGGACUGAGACACGGCCCAGACUCCUAGGGAG
rnacentral:rRNA from 1 species